rnacentral:rRNA from 1 species
AUUGAACGCUGGCGGCAGGCUUGACACAUGCAAGUCGAGAGGGGAAGGUUGCUUCGGUAACUAACCUAUCGGCGGACGGGUGCGUAAUGAUUAGGAAUCUUCCUAUUCGUGGGAGACAACAUUCAGAAAGGGAUGCUAAUACCGCAUACCACCUACGGGAAACAGCAGGGGACCAUUUGACCUUAAGGUAAUAGAUGAGCAUUAGUCGGAUAAGCUAGUUGGUGGGUUAAAGGCCUACCAAGGCGACGAUCUGUAGCGGGUCUUAGAGGAUGAUCCGCCACACUGGGACUGAGACACGGCCCAGACUCCUACGGGAGGCAGCAGUGGGGAAUAUUGGACAAUGGGGGGAACCCUGAUCCAGCCAUGCAGCGUGUGUGAAGAAGGCCUUUUGGUUGUAAAGCACUUUAAGCGAGGAGGAGGCUUACCUGGUUAAUACCUGGGAUAAGUGGACGUUACUCGCAGAAUAAGCACCGGCUAACUCUGUGCCAGCAGCCGCGGUAA